UAAGUGCUUCCAUGUUUUGG
rnacentral:miRNA from 1 species